GUUACUGAAAUAAUUUUUCAUAUAUUUUAUUGGGUUAAUUAAAUGUCAAAUUAAAUUGCACAAAUCCUCAUGAAUUAUAAUCUUAGAUGAAAAUAAUACCCACAGUAGCGCUCUAAAAAUCAUUACUAAGAUGUGUGGAUAUGUGUGGAUAGGUUAUCCCCUCUCUUGCAUAACUAACCGUCCUGAAAGAUUGACAGUGGAUGAGGAAUUGGUGAAGCAAAUCAGCGUGUGUUAGGAAUUGUUAGAGCGUAUGAGUUGCACCAAUGCUGGUUAGCGGGCUGGUAUUUGUGUACUUUAAAUUGGGACUGAACUGCAUUAUUUUGCCCAGGAAUUGGGGGGGUAAAUCAGAGCUUGUGUGAUCUGAGCUUGGCCUAGCCGGCAGUGCGUGGGGAUGACUCAGUCACUUUCCUGGUGACUAACAACACAAAUAUGGGAGUUUAAAAGUAGUUUCAGUGCCGCUGUGGCUCCACAUGGCCGCUGAGAGAGUGACAAGCAGGUGGAUUGGUAAUUAAUUCCCUUUCUCUCAUGCUCUUUCCUGAGUUAAUCCAGGUGAAAGGUGAGCUUGUGAAAGAAAAUGGUAUUGAGCCAUUUGAGUACAAUAUAGGGUUUCCCAGAAUCCAUGUGAAAUUCAGUACUUUCUUCUGGAUGCAGAGGUGGAGAUGAAGCCAGGAGAAUGGGCUGGAGAUUAAAGGGAAUGAGCUAGAUUAUAACACUACUGAGAAAAGCAUUACCUGUCCAAAAAGCAAACUUGCUCUGUGGCCUCACCUUUAUUGAAUUUCCAUAAACCAUAAAGAUCCUGUUGGUAUAGAGUCGCUUCAUUUUUAUUAAAGAUUACAAAUUAGAUUUGGAUGUAGGUUGGGGAAAAAUAUUUUUCUAUAUAUAUUUUGUCAUGAAUCUUUAUUAAUAAUGUAUUAUUGAUAAUACUAUUACCAGUGGUUUACUGAAGCAUGUUUCUGUAACUUGCCAUAUACAUUUGCUAAUAGGUUCACUUUGGUAUCACUCAAUGAAUAAUGACAAAUCUGCUUGUUUCCCUUUUUUUCCAAGGAUAAUAUAACAGAUGUUAAGUUUUAUGGAAAUACUGUGAUGUCUGUGGAGCACUAACACACUGCAAGAGGUUAUUUCUUCAGCUGCACAUUGUCAUAGACAGCAUGUGACACUCUGGGGGCUCCCUUUGAGAAAGCAGGGCUGAAGUUCAUAAAGCCUCAUUAGGUUCAUUGAAUAUGCUGGAAGUGAAUAAAGAGUGCCAAACAUUUGCCUUAUGUAGAGACACUGACCAUUUUACAAACAUGCAAGCAGGGGAGUUUCCUGCUGUUGAGGAUCCGCGACAUAGCCUAGGCAUUCUCAGUCGGCCUUGCUUGCUUUUCUCCCCUCCUCCCACUAUACUCAUUUUUUUUUCUGAAUGGGUGUCCUCUGUCUAACCUCUCAAUUCAGAAUGUUGAAACAGGACACUGUGCUAAACAGUGAUAGGUUGCCAGAGAAAUGCUCAGCCCCUCAAAGCCAGCUAUAGGACCUCUGGGAGUCAGUCUGCAGUGUAUAACCGCUUGACAAGAGAGAGAGAGAGAGAGAGAGAGAGAAGGAGGGCCAUUCUAGAGGAAGGGAGGGAGCAACUCGGAGCGAGAGAGCGAGGGAGGGAGAGGAUUUUAAAUCCGAUGACAGUGAUAACAGUGAUAGUCAGCUCAGGCUCGAGUGGCGGAAGGGUCUCAGCUGAAUCAGGAAGCCACCUCUGGUUUGACAUAUACAGCUUUUAUCACCAAUGUUGCUGUCACUUUAAGACUGUUACUGAUUAGCCGCUGAAGACUGACUGGACAGAGAAAAAAAGGACAGACCAAAAAAGAGAGACAGAAAGGAAGAGAGAAGGAGAGAGUUUCAAGCUGGAAAUCACAUGGAGAACACCAAGGCUGGACAGGGAGAAGACUGAGACUCAGCACAUGCAAGCAACAUUCAGCCAUCAGGAAAUACUCCUUUCACCCAGACUGAUGAGCAAGGAUGCCAAGGCACUGAAGCUGACUCUGUUUUACAACG